GGGACCCUUUCUGAGCAUUUUAGUGAAUACCGUUUGUUAAUUGUAUUCUUAUGAAUCUUUAGUUUUCUUUAAAGUGUUUUGUUGACGCUUAAUUGUCUUCAAGUCGUAUUUUCCUAGUCACAUUGGAGUAUUUUUUUCUAGUCCGCUGUCAGUGGUUCUUCGACCUACAUUAGAUUAACUUCUUGAUAUCUUCUAGCUCUCUUAACUCAUUUAAACAAAACGUAAAUAGUGGGAUGUAUUUUACAGUCUAUAAUGUCAAUUGAUGAACAGGACUUAAUGUUAUAAUAACCCCCACAAUUACCGCAUUAUUCUUAGGACAAGAUGCUUUCGAAGUCUUUUAAGUUUAUGAUAUAUAUUU
rnacentral:lncRNA from 1 species